UGCGGGUAUGGUGGAAUUGGCAGACGCGCAGGAUUUAGGUUCCUGUGCCGCAAGGCGUGUGGGUUCGACCCCCACUACCCGCAUCC
rnacentral:tRNA from 1 species